UACGUAGGUGGCAAGCGUUGUCCGGAAUUACUGGGCGUAAAGCGCGUGUAGGCAGCCCCGCAAGUCGGAUGUGAAAGCCCUGGGCUCAACCUAGGAAGUGCAUUCGAAACUGCGGGGCUGGAGUCCUGGAGAGGAAGGCGGAAUUCUCGGUGUAGAGGUGAAAUUCGUAGAUAUCGAGAGGAACACCGGUGGCGAAGGCGGCCUUCUGGACAGUGACUGACGCUGAGACGCGAAAGCGUGGGGAGCAAACAGG
rnacentral:rRNA from 1 species